UGUUACAAUGGGGGGUACAGAAGGCAGCUACCUGGUGACAGGAUGCUAAUCCCAAAAGCCUCUCUCAGUUCGGAUCGAAGUCUGCAACCCGACUUCGUGAAGCUGGAUUCGCUAGUAAUCGCGCAUCAGCCAUGGCGCGGUGAAUACGUUCCCGGGCCUUGUACACACCGCCCGUCAAGCCAUGAAAGCCGGGGGUACCUGAAGUACGUAACCGCAAGGAGCGUCCUAGGGUAAAACUGGUAAUUGGGGCUAAGUCGUAACAAGGUACC
rnacentral:rRNA from 1 species